rnacentral:pre_miRNA from 1 species
UAAACCGGUUUAAUGUUUUCUGCACAGACCCUGGCUUUUCUUAAAUUUUAUAUAUUGGAAAGCCCGUGUUUGUAUUGGACCUUCUGGUUUC